rnacentral:rRNA from 1 species
AGUGAACGCUGGCGGCGUGCCUAAUACAUGCAAGUCGAACGCAGUGGCGCACGGGUGAGUAAUAUAUAGCUAAUCUGCCCUUUGCUGGAGGACAACAGUUAGAAAUGACUGCUAAUACUCCAUAGCAAGGGCUUAGACUAUAUCGUAUCAGCUAGUCGGUGGGGUAACGGCCUACCGAGGCUAUGACGCGUAACUGGUGUGAGAGGAUGAUCAGUAACAUUGGAACUGAGACAGAGUCCAAACUCCUACGGGAAGCAGCAGUAGGGAAUAUUGGGAAAGGGGGGAAACCCUGAAGCAGCAACGCCGCGUGGAGGAUGACACUUUUCGGAGCGUAAACUCCUUUUGUUAGGAAAGCGGUACCUAACAAGUAAGCACCGGCUAACUCCGUGCCAGCAGCCGCGGUAAUAC